rnacentral:lncRNA from 1 species
CUUGAUCCGCUAAUAAAAGGGUGGGCUCCUACUGCCUGCUAACCAGGUGCAACACUGAAUUCCAAGGGGGCUUGUGUUGUGUUUUAAAAUUCAUCCCAAAUUCGCCUUUCCCAGAGGCGAUACUGUGUAUAGCUAGAAUGUACUUAAAAAUGAUUAGCAGGCAGUAUUUAUAGACUUUGCGUUAUUUAUGGUACACAAUUGUAUACUUGUAUUUAUUAUCAAAGUGCCUCACAAUUGUUGAUAUGGAAGAAAUGAUACAGGGGCACUUGCAGCAGAGGAUUACAAAGACGAGCUAGUUGAGUACUAUGAUGAUGAACACUAGAUUCGGAACUCUUUUUACCAGAGGAUUACAUAAGCAGAAUUACAAUUGUGAAUUGUUCUAUUUUAUCUUCAAAUAUUCAUGCUAUCUUAGACUUUAGGCAAGUGAUUAAGGAAUGUGUUUCUCGAC